GACGGAGGGGGCUAGCGUUGUUCGGAAUUACUGGGCGUAAAGCGCGCGUAGGCGGCGCAUUAAGUCAGAGGUGAAAGCCCGGGGCUCAACCCCGGAAUUGCCUUUGAGACUGGUGUGCUUGAGUACGGAAGAGGUGAGUGGAAUUCCCAGUGAUAGAGGUGAAAUUCGUAAGAUAUUGGGAAGAACACCAGUGGGCGAAAGGCGGCCUCCACUGGGUCCCGUAAACUGACCGCUUGAGGUGCGAAAAGCGUGGGGGAGCAAACAGGAUUAGAUACCCCCGUAGUCC
rnacentral:rRNA from 1 species